UACGGGGGGAGCAAGCGUUGUUCGGAUUUACUGGGCGUAAAGGGCGCGUAGGCGGCGCAACAAGUCACUUGUGAAAUCUCCGGCUUAACCCGGAGCGGCCAAGUGAUACUGUCGUGCUAGAGUGCGGAAGGGGCUACUGGAAUUCUCGGUGUAGCGGUGAAAUGCGUAGAUAUCUGGAGGAACACCGGUGGCGAAGGCGGCAUCCUGGACCGGUAUUGACGCUGAGGCGCGAAAGCUAGGGGAGCAAACGGG
rnacentral:rRNA from 1 species